rnacentral:siRNA from 1 species
CGGAUCGCAUGGCCUCUGUGC